ACACAAAAUUUUAGAAUUUUUUUAGUUUUCAUAAAGAUUUUACAUUUAUUUCUUAAUUUAAUAUAUUUUAUAAGUAAUUUUAUAAAUAAAAUUAUAUGUUAAAUAAUAAUUAUGUAAAAUUACACAUUGAAGACUCUAUAUUAAAUUGCAAAUAUACAUCUAUUUGAAUAAAAGUCGGAGCGGAGCAGAUAUUCACUUCUAAUUUAACGGAUUUUUUGGAUCGGAUCGAAACAAAUCAAAUCAAAUUUAAUGGAUAAAAUACCUAACGAGAGAUUAAGAGGUUGUCCGUUGUCAUUUGACCACUCUCCCACUAAUCAAACCGACUAUUCAUACAAUUAAUGGUCAUCCAAGACUAUUUCCUCUACGUCUAUUAUUAUUAUGUUGCCAUAAACACAUUCUUGAAGGUCAUCACACAGUCAGGAUAUCAUUUUUGCAGGCAUUAAAUAUUUUAAAUUGCCUUUUCCUAAUAUUUUUGGGUCUAAAAUCAGGACUUUUUUCUUUUUAAAAAUGUGUAAUUUGAAUGGGAAGACUUGUUCAGAAUUUAGGGGAGUAAACGCGUUAUCUUUGUGUCUUAAGACUCAAAAGGCCAGCCAACACAAAUGUAAAAUGUUGUUUUGUGGCUCUCCACUUCCUUAGCUUUUCAUUUCACUUGAGAUUUUUAUGCAUUAAAAAUCUAUCUAUUUUAUAAUUUAAAUAAUUUAUUUAUGAUUUGCUGACAGGCACAACUCAUCAAAAUCCUCAACAAAAUACUUAAAAGCAAAUGUAAUUGCUUAGUGAUUACUAAAUAUUUUUAAUUUAUUUAUUUACUUACAUGUAAAAUUUAAGAAAACUGGUAGACUUAGAUAUAGUUUAUUGAAAUUAGCUGAUGUAAAUAGAGAACAUUAUCUUGCAAGUCUUCCCUUUUGUUUGACUCAAAUCUUGCAAAUCUUAUUGUAUUAAUCAUUGUAAGUAUCAUAUAACUUUUAUUGAAACAUAUUCUGACCACCACAUAUCAAGAAUUCAAGAGGAGAGUGCUAACUUACUGAUACGUAUAAUGUAAAACAUUGUACGGUAGAGAAGAAUGUGAUGAUCGUUGUGAGUUUGGAGAAAACUGCAUUUCGCAAUCGUUCUUUAAAUAAAGACAAAUUGACAUGAUGACAAACACAUUACAGCCAUAUAUAGAAAUAUUACCUAGCUACAAAAGAUAACCGUAGGGAAAAAAUACUUGAUGUAUGAGAAGAAGAUUUGAAGCUGAAUGAGCAGCAUUUUUGUGUUUGUGCACGGUGCAGGCCAUGGAGGAUGAUGUUGGUACAAACUCGCCUAUUCACUGAAGGAGAAUUGGUACAAACUCGCCUAUUCACUGAAGGAGAAUGGACAUAAGGCCACCUCCAUUGACCUCAAGGGCGAUGGGAUCAACCAAAUUGAUCCAAACACCGUCUCCCCUCUUGAUGACUACAACCAGCCUCUGAGUGACUUCCUCUCCCAACUUCCCCUUGACCAAAAGGUCAUUUUUUGUGAGCCAUAGCGUUGGAGAAGGGAACAUGACGGCUGCCAUGUGGGACUUCCCUUCUCAGCAAGCAUGAUGAUGAAACCUGAAUAUGUCCGGGACAAGUAUUACAACGAGAACGAGAGCACCAUAGAGAGAAAGGAUCCUACAACAAUUGCCUCCAACUAUGUCUUACUACUUAGGCGAGUGUUCUCCAAACAAUCAACAGAAAAGACUUGCAAACUCAAACACAUACAAGAAAAGAGGAAGAAGAGUAAUCAAGGAGUGGUUUGAACAUUAGAGUCCUUGGGUUUGCUAUUGUCAUCCGAAGACGGCCUUGUCUCAGAAGAGUCUGAAACUCUUAUCUCCUCAAUCAUCCUAACCACCUCAUCCAUGCUAGGUCUCACCUCAGGCACAUGAGCCACACAGGCCAUAGCAAUCUGCAGCAUCUGCACCAUUUCUUCUUCAAUGUUCUGAAACUUCAUAAGCUCAACAUCAAACACCUCGCUUGUCCACUCCUCCCUCACCACUGACUGCACCCACCUCGGAAGAUCAACCAUGUCCUCCCUACUCGGCGACUGCACCGGAGACUUCCCAGUCAGCAUCUCGAGUAUAAGUACACCAAAACUGUAAACAUCUGACUUAUGCGUGUGUUUCCUUGUUAAUAUUACUUCCGGUGCACGGUAGCCUGCACCCCUCAUUGGUGCAAU